AGACAGGGUACUUUGGUGCUGAAAUAUGGCUGAUUGGUCUGUUGUUCAAGGAUACCCAUGAAGCUCAUUUCAAAGUAAGAAUGGAUGGCUCACAGGCUAACACCAAGACCAGCACCACAACACCCUUGGCCAGGCAUUACAAACCCAAGCAAGGAAGCGCAGCACACCUGAACUGCAGGCCUGGCUGGGGAUUUCCCUGCCUGUCCCCAGACCAGAGAGGUGGCUGUGUGGCAACAUCAGUGAGCAUGUACAGGGGCUCUCAGAAGACAACCUCAAGGUCCUUUGCAAGUGCAUGCAGUCUCAACUCCCAAACAGCUGCUGGCUUCCAAGCUGCAGAGGUGGAAGUUCUUCUCAUCAUGGGGCAAACAGCAAUGGCUAGCAUGCCUCUCUCAUCCAUAACACUGGGACCACAGCUGCCAAGGCAGUCCAGGAUCCGAGUGGAGGGUGACUCACCCAGGCAGGAGGAGUGCAAGCCGUGCUCACAAAGACCAAGUGACAAGUGACACACAGUUCCAGUGUACUGGGGGAGGAAGAGGCAGAUACCAUCUGAUCUGCUGUCUGCCAGAAGGAAAGCUCACAACACGGGUGGAGAAGCUCUCCCCCGUCCCUCAAUGAGGAAACCAUUCCCAAACGUGUCAUUCAGCCAUCCACACUAUGUGGAUCAUAGGAGAGAGAGAGACAAGCUGGCAGGAGAUAAAGAAGGAAAGGGUGUCAGGAACAUCUGAUGCACCCACAUCAGGCAGAGGGCUUGUUUGUUUGGGCUGAAGCGUUGGGUGAAGAUCAAGC